AUGACACCCCCACCUGCUAAUUGUGUUAUUGUGACUGCAGAUGGUUACCUGGGAUACCGGCUGCUAACCUCCCUCACUCUUGUAGAGUCUGAGUUACAGGCAGUGCCUUUGGCUCUGAGCUCUGGUGCACUAAACUCUGUUUUGGCGAUUAAGUACUGUGGGGUGCUAAUCGAGGUCUUCUUAACCAGCUGGUUUUACCUUCCUCCAUUGCGAUGGAGAACCCUCCGCAGCUGGAAGAUGAUCCACUCGAAGGCUCAUCAAACACCCAAUGGCAUCAAGUCACUGGCAACAUUCAUGCCUCCAGUGUUUCAAAACCAAAGAACAUUAAAAGAAUACUCCCGUUCACGCUGGGCGCGGUGGCUCAUGCCCAUAAUCCCAGCACUUUGGGAGGCCUAGGUGGGCACAUCAGGAGGUCAAAAGAUCAAGACCAUCCUGGCCAACAUGGUAGAACCCAAUCUCUACUAGAAAAAACAAAAACAUCCGGGCAUUUUGGUGCUCACCUGUAGUUUCAGCUAGUCGGGAUGCUGAGACAGAAGAAUCACUUAGAACCCAGAAGGCAGAGGUUGCAGUGAGCUGAGAUCAUGCCACUGUCCUCCAGCCUGGGCGACAGAGUGAGACUCUGACUCAAAAAGAAAAGAUAAAGAGAAAACUCAUGUUCAGCAACUGGAUCCGUUGGCCUUCACGCUCAGGGUGCAGAGGUAAUCACUUCUAUGGCUCUGAGCUGCACUCACUUCUUAUUUCUCUCUGUCUAUGGUGACAGCUCAUUCUCCCACUGCUCUUUCUCUUCCAUUUGUUCUCCCCAGCGGUUGCUGUAACCUAUGUCUGAUCUUACCUUAGUGUCCCAUAGGCUCCACCCUGCCAGCCCCUUUCUGGCCCCAUCUCCUCAUUGCUCUCUGAACUCUGCUCUAUUCCUUCUUUUGCUGUCUUGAGGGUCCCUCUCGUGGUCACAGGAGAGCAGGGCCUCCUAGUCCUCAUCCAAGUACACAGUUAAGCUGUGGAACACAGGGUUCUUUGCCUGGAAUUGCACACUCUCUUCAGAAAUGUCCCUUUCCUCCCUGCAUCCCCAACUCCAUUGUUGCUUUCUGCAGGGAGCAUGGCUUUAAUACAUCAUUUACACAUGGGUUUUCCUCUUGAGUUGGCUUUAGAGGAACCUGGCCAAGUCCACCCUCUUGUUCCUCUGAAUGAGAAGUGUUAGAGCUGAGCACAGAGACCCCCACUUAGAAAACUAAACUUGAACCUGGGUCACAAGUGGGAGUUCCCUACCGGACUGGAGCCAGGUUUGCCUUCAGCCCCAGAUGUGCAGCCUUGUGACAAUGUAGAUGGAAUUGCCAGGGACUCAGUGUUCUCACCACAUGGACUCAUUUGUGCUGACAUUAACUGAAUGACAUUUAUGACAUUCAAAAAUACAUGCAGAGGACAAGACUUCAAUCUGCAUACAUCAUGAGAUAUAUCAUUCUAACCUCACUCCAUUUUAUCCUCAUUUCCAUUUCUACAUGUCCAUUUAAGGGUCUAUAAUGCAACUCAGAUGAAUCUUGAGGCCAGGGUAUAUGAGAGAGUAUUUUCUCAAUUAGGUUUGAGAUAAGUGGCUCCAGUACCUUUAUUACUGAGUAAUGUAAGAAAUGUCAACAAAAAAGAAAAUAUUAAAGUCACUCUGUUGGCUUCCCCUUUCCCUUUGGGCUUUCUUGUCCAAGUCCACAUUCCUGAUUUUAUGUGCUUUGGGUGGUUUUAGCCCCGUCUGUUGAGAUGAAGAACGCUUUGCAGCUGGAAGAUGAUCCACUCGAAGGCUCAUCAGACACCAUCCAAGGGCAUCAAGUCACUGGCAACAUUCAUGCCUCCAGUAUUUUGAAACCAAAUAAGAUGAAAAUAAAAGUGCAGUUCAGCAAGUGGAUUCAUUGGCCUUCAUGCCCAGGGUGCAGAGGUAAUCACUUCUAUGGCUCUGAGCUGCACUCACUUCUUAUUUCUUUCUGUCUAUGGUGACAGCUCAUUCUCACACUGCUCUUUCUCUUCCAUUUGUUCUCCCCAAUGGCUGCUGUAACCUCUGUCUUGUCUUACCCCAGUGUCCCAUAGGCUCCACCCUGCCAGGCCCUUUCUGGCCCCAUCUCCUCAUUGCUCUCUGAACUCUGCUCUAUUCCUUCUUCUGCUGUCUUGAGGGUCCCUCUCGUGGUCACAGGAGAGCCGGGCCUCCUUGUCCUCAUCCAAGUACACAGUUAAAGCUGUGAAACACAGGGUUCUUUGCCUGGAAUUGCACACUCUCUUCAGAAAUGUCCCUUUCCUCCCUGCAUCCCCAACUCCAUUGUUGCUUUCUGCAGGGAGCAUGGCUUUAAUACAUCAUUUACACAUGGGUUUUCCUCUUGAGUUGGCUUUGGAGGAACCCGGCCAAGUCCACCCUCUUGUUCCUCUGAAUGAGAAGUGUUAGAGCUGAGCACAGAGAGCCCCACUUUGAAAAUUAAACUUGAACCUGGGUCACAAGUGGGAGUUCCCUACUGGACUGGAGCCAGGUUUGCCUUCAGCCCCAGAUGUGCAGCCUUGUGACAAUGUAGAUGGAAUUGCCAGGGACUCAGCAUUCUCACCACAUGGACUCAUUUGUGCUGACAUUAACUGAAUGACAUUUAUGACAUUCAAAAGUACAUGCAGAGGAAAAGACUUCAAAUCUGCAUACAUCAGGAGAUAUAUCAUUCUAACCUCUCUCCAUUUUAUUCUCAUUUCCAUUUCUACAUGUCCAGUUAAGGGUCUAAAAUGCAACUCAGAUGAAUCUUGAGGCCAGGGUAUAUGAGAGAGAGUUUUCUGAAUUAACUCUGAGAAAUUGAUUCCAGAACCUUCUUUAUGCAUACACAAGAUGACAGACAAGCAUCUGUCUACAGGAAAAUCUAUGCUUUGGCCUAGCCCAGUUGAUAAGAAAGAGAUCUCAUCAAAGUUGUCAGAGAGGAGACUAAAAUCCGUGGAACCACAGGGAACAAAGCCAAUCAUGAGAUAAACGGGAAAAGGAAAGAAAAUGAUGGGAAAUUGGAUUGUUCCAUUUUGUAUCUCUACAUCCCUCUGCCAUGUAGUAAACACCUGGUGGGAUUUCAGUUAAGAUGCACACCUUGAACUCACACCGUGAGAUUCUCACUGACAUGAUCUGGGGUGCGGUUGGGUGUCUGUAGUUUUAAAAUGCUCCCAUGUGAUUCUGAUAUGUGGCUGAAGAUGAGGAAGACAACUGGUCUACGACCUCAGGUUGCCAACAUGGGAGUGUUCCAUGUGUGUGGCUACUCCAAAGAAGAGGCUGAGCAUCCAUCAGCAUUUCAUGGGAUCUGUAUUCCCCUCUCAAUAGUAUUGUACACAUAGCAUAGAAAAAAAUCAGAUAGGAAACCAAUAAAAUUAGGAGAUUAGACCUUUAGCCUCUGCUUGAAGUGUACUUGCUCAAUUUUCAAUACAAGGCAAAGUGAGGAACACUCAUUACAUAGACGCAUAAUGUACAGAAAUAAUAUGUCCCGUAUUACAUCUAGGAAAGUUUAGUGUUUUCUUUGGCAGUUCACAGUAAAUCUUGCAGGUGACGUUUAACCACACAGAUUUUAUAGCCCACUGAUUGACUCAGCGCUGCAGUGUGAACAUUUUACUUUUGGUCAAUUGUUGUUCUUCUUCAAAGCCCCCAAAGAGAACUUAUUCGUCUCACGCUCCUGAAGAGAACAAAUAACACAUCAGGACUGAAAUUCUUCAGGAGAUUUCCUGUGAAUACUUCCUUAUGCCACUCUUAAAGUUGACGUUAAAUAUUAAAAGGGAACCUGUCAGCCUGCUGCAGUGGCUCGCAGCUGUAAUCCCAGCACUUUGGGAGGCCGAGGUGGGCGGAUCAUGAGGUCAAGAGAUCAAGAUCAUCCUGGCAAACAUGGUGAAACCCCUUCCCUACUAAAAAUACAAAAAUUUGCUGGGUCUGGUGGCACGCAUCUCUGGUCCCAGUUACUCAGGAGGCUGAGGCGGAAGAAUCGCUAGAACCCAGGAGGUGGAGGCUGCAGUGAGCAAAUAUUGUGCCACUGCACUUCAGCCUGGUGACAGAGCAAGUGUCCGUCUCAAAAAAAAAAAAAACAGGAAACCUUUCCCAAAAUGUACUUGGGGAAAACAAAAAAUAAGAGGAGAGAAUGUAGUAAAACAAAAACUAUUCCUUUUCACCUCAUACUUCAAAGUUUUGUUGGUCUAGAUAGUGAAAAUAUUCCUAGAAAUGCCUUAACGUGUAACCAGAUAUGCAAUCACCUUCUGGGCAUUAGGGAAAAUAAGUAAGUCCAUAGUUACACUCCCCACUCUUUGCUCAUUUCAUUUCAAAGUUUCUUUCUUUCCUGAUCCCCUUUCAAAGAAUACUUACAAUUAUGUUUGAUUUUUCUUCUUUUUAAUUUUUUAACCUACCAAAUAAAUACCACAGACACCAUAUUUCUUUGUAAAACGUUGUAUUCCUGUCCUAGCCAAGGUAACCCAACAGCCUCUCAUGACUGCCGAGACCGCCAGAUUGGACCCUUUCCUCUCACUUCCUCCAAUCUCUAUUGUACGGGCCUUAGUGCCUGGUUCUAGUUCCGCGUUGUCAAUAGCAAGUCAUGUGACCUUAGUUCAAACUUACCCCUGUGGCAUCACUACUACUCUGUUUUAAAAGGUGGAAGAGAACGUGGAUAUUAUCUGAGGUUCCUGCUGCUUUUUAGAUCCACAGUGUUGCCCAUGGCCCUUCUGCUCCUCCCCAGAAGCCUGGGAAUUGGAGUUGUAAG
ensembl:lncRNA